GAUGAACGCUGGCGGCGUGCCUAAUACAUGCAAGUCGAGCGAACAGACGAGGAGCUUGCUCCUCUGACGUUAUCGGCGGACGGGUGAGUAACACGUGGAUAACCUACCUAUAAGACUGGGAUAACUUCGGGAAACCGGAGCUAAUACCGGAUGAUAUAUUGAACCUCAUGGUUCAAUAGUGAAAGACGGUUUUGCCGUCACUUAUAGAUUGAUCCGCGCUGCAUGAGUUGGUUGGCAAGGUAACAGCUUACCAAGGCAACGAUGCGUAGCCGACCUAAGAGGGAGAUCGGACACACUGGAUGAGAGACACGGCACAGACUCCUACGGGAGGAAGCAGUAGGGACUCUUCCGCAAUGGGGGAAAGCGUGACGGAGCAACGUCGCGGGAGGGAUGAUGGUGUACGGAUGGGAAAACUCUGUUAGUAGGGAAGAACAAAUGUGUAAGUACCUAUGCACGUCAUGACGGUACCGAGUCAGAAAGCCACGGCUAACUACGUG
rnacentral:rRNA from 1 species